CCUACGGGAUGCAGCAGUGAGGAAUCUUGGUCAAUGGACGCAAGUCUGAACCAGCCAUGCCGCGUGCAGGAAGACGGCUCUAUGAGUUGUACACUGCUUUUGUACGAGGGUAAACGCAGAUACGCGUAUCUGUCUGAAAGUAUCGUACGAAUAAGGAUCGGCUAACUCCGUGCCAGCAGCAGCGGUAAUACGGAGGAUUCAAGCGUUAUCCGGAUUUAUUGGGUUUAAAGGGUGCGUAGGCGGUCGGAUAAGUUAGAGGUGAAAUCCCGAGGCUCAACUUCGGAAUUGCCUCUGAUACUGUUCGGCUAGAGAGUAGUUGCGGUAGGCGGAAUGUAGGGUGUAGCGGUGAAAUGCUUAGAGAUCAUACAGAACACCGAUUGCGAAGGCAGCUUACCAAGCUACUUCUGACGUUGAGGCACGAAAGCGUGGGGAGCAAACAGGAUUAGAUACCCGGGUAGUC
rnacentral:rRNA from 1 species